rnacentral:rRNA from 1 species
AGUCGUAACAAGGUCUCCGUUGGUGAACCAGCGGAGGGAUCAUUAUCGAGUUAUUCAGCUCCCAAACCCUAUGUGAACUUACCACUUGUUGCUUCGGCGCGCGCUUCGGCGCCGCCGAGGACACUUAAACUCUUUGUUUUUAUAAGCAUUUCUGAGUGGCCGAAAGGCAAAAAUACAAAUGAAUCAAAACUUUCAACAACGGAUCUCUUGGUUCUGGCAUCGAUGAAGAACGCAGCGAAAUGCGAUAAGUAAUGUGAAUUGCAGAAUUCAGUGAAUCAUCGAAUCUUUGAACGCACAUUGCGCCCGCCAGCAUUCUGGCGGGCAUGCCUGUUCGAGCGUCAUUUCAACCCUCGAGCCCGACUCUUUUGAGGACGGCUCGGCGUUGGGGGACGGCAGACUCCCCCCGGCAUCUCGCCGGGGACGCCGCCCCCGAAAUCUAGUGGCGGCCCUCCGAGGCGACCUCUGCGUAGUAACUUGUUCUCGCACCGGAAAGCUCAGAGCGGCCACGCCGUAAAACCCCAACUUUUUUCAGGUUGACCUCGAAUCAGGUAGGACUACCCGCUGAACUUAAGCAUAUCAAUAGUCG